CAGUGCCUCCUGCUCUGCCCACUCACCCUGCCACGUGGCGGCCGGGUGAGGGCCUCGGGGCAGCAU
rnacentral:pre_miRNA from 1 species